rnacentral:tRNA from 1 species
GGCACUUUGGCGGAGUGGUUAACGCGAUGCCCUGCUAUAUCCGAGUAUUCGGUAACAGCGAAGGCAUUCCCUUCGGGGGCGUGUGUUCGAAUCACACAGGUGUCG